rnacentral:rRNA from 1 species
ACUAUGGCCUCAGAUCAGACUUGGCGACCCGCUGAAUUUAAGCAUAUUACUAAGCGGAGGAAAAGAAAUUAACCAGGAUUCCCUCAAACGGCCAGUGAAGAGGGAAAAGCCUAGCACUGAAUCCCUGGUUAGCGGCAGGCGUGGGAAAUGUGGCGUACAGAAGACCAACUCCCCGGCAUCGUUCAUGGGGCUCAAGUCCUUCUGAUCGAGUCUCACACUGCGGACGGUGUUUAGGCCGGUAGCGGCUUCUGGCAUGCCGGGAUCAGGUCUUCUUGGAGUCCGGUUACUUGGGAAUGCAUCCCAAAGCAUGUGGUAAACUCCAUCAAGGCUAAAUACAGCUCAGAGACGGAUGGCUAACAAGUACCGUAAGGGAACAUUGAAAAGAACUUUGAAGAGAGUUCAAGAGGGCGUGAAACUGUUGAGAGGUAAACUGGCGGGGUCCAUGCAGUCUGCCAGCAGGAUUCAACACGGCAGGCAGGUUGGUCGCCUGGAACGGUGGAUGAUCUCGCGGGACUGCAGCCCGGGCAGACUCGGCCCACGCAGGGCGUAUUUACUCUCUGGCAGGCAUCGCGACCGGCUGGGAAGGCCUCAGGGGGCAGGUGGUUCUCUGCUCUGGUAGAGAGUGUUACAGCACCGACAGCAGUUUUGCUGUAUCCGCGGGGCCAAGGGAGAUUGGCCGCUGCGUGCCCUUCUCUGGCAACCAUCCUUGCCCCUCUUGCGGGUCACCAGACCAGCAACGGGAGACAGGGCUCCCAAUGUGACUGUGGCGGACUGCCCUCAGAGCGCCCCGACCGCAUCAUGCCGCCAGGCGGGGAGGCCCACAAAGGGCACCAGGGGUCUGCGGUGAUGUCGUUUAACCACCCGACCUGUCUUGAAACACGGGCCAAGGAGUCUUAACAUGUGCGCGAGUCAGAGGGCCAAAUGAAACUAUUUGGUGCAAAGAAGGUGAGGGCGGGCGCAUGCCGAUUGCAGUGGCAUCCCGCCACGGUGGGCGCCCCACCGUCUCGUCCGCUCUGUCAGGGAGAUGGAGCAUGAGCCUGUGUGAUAGGACCCGAAAGAUGUGAACUAGGCCUGGUGGAGGUCCGUAGCGGUCCUGAUGUGUAAAUCGGUCGUCUGAUCUGGUUAUAGUGGUAAAAGACUAAUCGACCAUCUAGUAGCUGGUUACCUCAGGAGUUUCUCUCAGGAUAACUGGCACACGGAAACCCCAGUUUUAUCUGGUAAAGCGAAUGAUUGGAGGUCUUGGGCCGAUAUGAUCUCAACCUAUUCUCAAACUUUAAAUGGGUAAGAAGCCCGGCUCACUAGCGUGGAGCCAGGCAUUGAAUCCAAGUGGCCAGUGGGCAACCUUUGCUAAGCAGAACUGGCGCUGCGUGAUGAACCGAAUGCUGGGUUAAGGCACCCGAUGCUCAUCAGACCCCAGAAAAGAUGUUGGUUGAUAUAGACAGCAGGGCGGUGGCCAUGGAAGUCAGAAUCUGCUAAGGAGCCUUGGGGAGAGUAAUCUUUUCUUUGUGAAGGGCAGGGCACCCUGAAAUGGGUUCACCCUGAGAGAGGGGCCUGAGCCUUGGAAAGCGUCACGGUUCCGGCGGUGUGCAGUGAUCUCUCGCUGGUCCUUGAAAAUCCAGGAGAGAUGGUGUAAAUCUUGCGCCGGGCCGUACCCAUAUCCGCAGCAGGUCUCCAAGGUGAACAGCCUCUGGCAUGUUGGGACAAUGUAGGUAAGGGAAGUUGUUAAGUCAGAUCCGUAACAUCAGUAUAAGGAUUGGCUCUAAGGGCUGGGUUGGUCAGGCUUGGGCACAAAGCAGGGCUGGGUGCGCCCCGUGGCCGGAUGAGGCGUCUCAGCCCCCACCCCGCACUCUCCCCGGGGCGGUGCCGACUCUGGAUGCCAGCAGGGUCCUGCAUGUGGAUCACCCCAGCUGCGGUGGUCGCCUCUCUCUGUUCCCCUUCCAGGGUUCGGGGCCGAUGUUCUUCCUCGGCCGACGCCAAGUAGCUGAUUUAGACCUGGUGCGGACCAGGGGAAUCUGACUGUUUAAUUAAAACAGCAUUGCGAAGGCCUGCGGUGGGUGUUGACGCAAUGUAAUUUCUGGCCAGCGCUCUGAAUGUCAAAGUGAAGAAAUUCAAUGAAGCGUGGGUAAACGCAGGAGUAUCUAUGACUCUUAAGGUAGCCAAAUGGCAUGUCAUCUAAUUAGUGAUGCUCAUGAAUGGACGAACAAGAUUCCAACUGUUCCUACCUACUAUCUAGCGAAACCACAGCCAAGGGAACGGGCUUGGCAGAAUGAGCUGGGAAAUAAGACCUAAUUGCGAGGUAUGAAAAACCACUCAAGUGAAAAACCACUACUCUUAUUAUUUUUUCAUGUACCCGGUGAGGUGGGGGCAAGCCCCGUGGGGGCUCUCACUUCUAGCUCCAAGCGUCCAGUGCCCACCGUGCGCGACCUGCUCUAGGGACAGUGGCAGUUGAGGAGUUUGACUGGGCGCUACACCUGUCAAACAAUAAUGCAGGUGUCCUAAGGCGAACUCAGGGAGGACAGAAACCUCCUGCAGAGCAGAAGGGCAAAAGCUUGCUUGAUCUUCAUUUUUCAGUAUGAAUACAGACUGUGAAAGCUGGGCCUCACGAUCCUUCUGACUUUUUGGGUUUCAAUCAGGAGGUGUCAGAAAAGUUACCACAGGGAUAUCUGGCUUGUGUCGGCCAAGCGUUCAUAGCGACGUCGCUUUGUGAUCCUUCGAUGUCGGCUCUUCCUAUCAUUGUGAAGCCGAAUUCACCAAGCAUUGGAUUGGUCACCUGCUAAUAGGGAACGUGAGGUGGGUUUAGACCGUCGUGAGACAGGUUAGUUUUACUCUACUGAUGAUGUGUUGUUGCAAUAGUAAUUCUGCUCAGUACAAGAGUGUUAGGCAGAAUCACAUGCAGUACCCUUUGGGAACACUACAUGCAGUUAAGACUACAAGUGUUAGUA